UCCAGAGGCCCAGAGCCACACGGAGCAGUACACCAUCCCUCACGCCACGCGCUCGUGCUACCGCCGCCGGGAACUCACGACCGGCGAGCCGGCACCGGCGGGUACUCGGAGCACGUUUUGCGGGCGUGCUUGACCCAGCGCACCAGGCUGCCGCUCGGCUUUGUGUACGCGGUCCCGCCCCGGUCUCCUCGUCCCCACCCCGGCAGGCACGAUGCCGCCGGCGCCGGCGUACGCCGUGCUCGCCGCCGCCUUCAGGACAAACAGCCCCAUAUCCGUUACUAGGUGUCUCGGCGUACUUGCCUCUCGCACGCGAGCUGCUCGGCCCAAUGCGUUAGAGGCAUUUCCUCGCGCAUCCUCUCCUCCAAGCUCUCAUUCAAGCCUUCUUCCAAGAAUAUACGCUCUAGCGUCACCAAGACUCUGCCACACCAGCGCUCAGGAAGGCCCCUACAACGUCUGUGCCGGCGAAGUUCUGCGAGUCCUCAAGUCCUGCGAUGCCGACGCUGACCUCCGCAAAGACCUCCGCCGGUUCGCCGGUGAGAUGGACGAGGACGUCGUUCUCAAGGUGCUCCAGAAGCAGAGGUCUAACUGGCAGGUGGCGCUGUCGUUCUUCAACUGGGCGGCGGGGCUGCCUGGAUACGCCCAUGGUCCAAGGACCUACACCGAGAUGCUCGACAUCCUCGGGCGGAUGAAGAAGGUCAGGCUGAUGAGGCAGGUUUUCGACGAGAUCCCCGAGGAGCGCCGCGGGCCUGUCGUGACCAACAGGAUGUUUGCGGUCCUGCUGAACCGGUACGCGGGGGCGCACAAGGUGCAGGAGGCCAUCGAGAUGUUCUACAAGAGGGGGGAGUACGGGUUCGAGGUCGACUUGGUUGGGUUCCAGAUACUCCUCAUGUCGCUUUGCCGGUACAAGCAUGUCGAGGAGGCUGAGGCCCUCUUUCUCCUGAAGAAAGACGAGUUCCCUCCUGUCAUAAAGAGCUGGAACAUCAUUCUCAACGGUUGGUGUGUCAAGGGGAGCCUGCCUGAUGCUAAAAGGGUUUGGAACCAGAUCAUCGAAUCGAAGCUCAAGCCGGACCUGUUCACGUAUGGCACGUUCAUAAAUGCGCUGACCAAAGCUGGCAAACUUAGCACGGCGGUGGAACUGUUUACGAGCAUGUGGGAGAAAGGAAUCAACCCCGACGUGGCGAUCUGCAACUGUAUCAUCGACCAAUUGUGCUUCAAGAAAAAGAUUCCGGAAGCACUUGAGAUCUUUCGUGAGAUGAAUGACCGUGGUUGUCAAGCAGAUGUGGCCACCUACAACACUUUGAUUAAACACUUCUCUAAAAUAAGGCGGACGGAAAAAGUUUAUGAGCUUCUUGAUGAUAUGGAGCAGAAGGGAUGCUGUCCAAACAAUAUGACAUACAGCUACAUUCUGAAGACGACUGAGAAACCGAGAGAUGUUAUUAAUUUGAUUCAGAGGAUGGAGGAAUCAGGUUGUAGGUUGGACUCUGACACCUAUAACCUUAUAUUGAACCUUUAUGUCAGCAUGAAAUAUGAAAAGGGGGCGCAACAAGUAUGGGAGGAGAUGGAGAGGAAUGGCUCAGGUCCUGAUCAGAGAUCAUUUACUAUCAUGGUUCAUGGGCUUCAUUCCCAGGGUAAGCUGGACCAGGCUUUGGAUUAUUACACGACAAUGAAGUCAAGAGGGAUGACUCCAGAACCAAGAACUAGGAUAUUGGUGAAAGCAAUACAUAUGAAGAAAGAUGAGCCCGACAAUGAAGACCGGUCUCCAAGUAGGGCCGGGAAGUAUCUGAAACUGGAUCGACGAUCAGGACUAUUCCAUGUUCAUAAAUAGUUCACCGGCAGAAUCUGCUUCUGUAAUCCUAGCAGAAGGUGAUGGGAAAUUGGGUUUAUGGGUCGUGAUCUGGUCUGUCAGUUUCUAGGUCCCCAAGCCCACCUCUUGGGCUGAAAAAAAAACAUAAGAGAAGAAUCAUUGGCAAUAUGUUGCCCCAGAAGUUAUGCUCUUUGAAAUGUCAUAGCAGGAUAUGUUUAGGAUGUAUUGGGAAAUUCAAUUGCAGGUACAUAAUUUUUCCAAUCUCCAGUUCAGUUUUUGUUGAUUCUGUAUGGCCGAUGGCACUGAUAGAGUAUGCAGUGGUCCUUAAUUAUAUUGGUUUCUGCUCUUCCCCGGUACCGGUCAUACUUUUCUAAUAAUUCAUUGCACUGGCUCUAAUUGUCUUGCUCCCCAUUGGCUAUUGCUCUCCUGCACACAAGUGAGUAUAUUUUAGACUAACGGAGCAAAAGAACGUGCGAGAUAAGCAAACGUAUCUUGGAUGCAUGAAAGAUCUUCUGGGCUCGAAAUAAUAUUUUAUAGCUUGUAUGGAUUAUAUAAGCCAAACUGAGCUAGCUAAUGCAACACUUCCAAAAUUAUACUUCCUCCGUCCAACAAAGGAUGUCUCAACUUUGUCUAAAUUUAGAUGAUCUAGAUGUUGUGUAGAUACAUCUAAAUUUAGACAAAGUUGAGACAUCCUUUGUUGAACGGAGGGAGUAAUAAACUAAGUUAUAGUUCUGCAGAAGUUGGCAACAAUUUAGUUUGGCAUAGAAGAUAUAAAUAUUCUAGUUGGACCCAGCUUGUUACGUAUUUGAGUUAAUUUUCUUAUUACAACAACAACAAAGCCUUUAUUCCCAAACAAGUUGGGGUAGGCUAGAGGUGAAACCCAUAAGAUCUCGUAACUAACUCAUGGUUCCGACACAUGGAUAGCAAGCUUCCACGCGGCUCUUUCCAUGGCUAGUUCUUUGGUGAUACUCCAGUCCUUCAGAUCUCUCUUUACGGACUCCUCCCAUGUCAAGUUUGGUCUACCCCGUCCUUUCUUGACAUUAUCAGCACGCUUUAGCCGUCCACUAUGCACUGGAGCUGGAGGCCCACGCUGAAUAUGUCCAAUCCAUCUUAGACGAUGUUGGACAAGCUUCUCUGCAAUCGGUGCUACCCCAACUCUAUCUCGUAUAUCAUCAUUCCGGACUCGGUCCUUCCUCGUAUGGCCACACAUCCAUCUCAAAAUGCACAUCUCCGCCACACCUAACUGUUGAACAUGCCGCCAUUUAGUCGGCCAACACUCAGCGCCAUACAACAUUGUGGGUCAAACCGCCGUCCUAUAGAACUUGCCUUUUAGCUUUUGUAGCACUCUCUUAUCACAAAGAAUGCCAGAAGCUUGGCGCCACUUCAUCCAUCCGGCUUUAAUCCGGUGGUUCACAACUUCAUCAAUAUCCUCAUCCUUGCGCAGGAUUGACCCCAAGUAUCGAAAGGUGUCCUUCUGAGGCACCACUUGCCCAUCCAGGCUAACCUCCUCCUCCCCGUACCUAGUAGUACUAAAACCGCACAUCAUGUACUCAGUUUUAGUUCUACUAAGUCUAAAACCUUUCGAUUCCAAGGUUUGUCUCCAUAGUUCUAACUUCCUAUUGACCCCCGUUCGAGUAUCAUCGAUUAGGACCACAUCAUCCGCAAUGAGCAUACACCAUGGGAUAUCUCCUUGUAUAUCCCUUGUGACCUCAUCCAUCACCAAAUCAAAUAGGUAAGGGCUCAAAGCUGACCUUGGUGUAGUCCUAUUUUAAUCGGGAAGUCAUCGGUAUCGCCAUCUCUUGUUCGAACACUUGUCACAACAUUAUCGUACAUGUCCUUGAUGAGGGUAAUGUACUUUGCUGGGACUUUGUGUUUCUCCAAGGCCCACCACAUGACGUGUCGCGGUAUCUUAUCGUAGGCCUUCUCCAAGUCAAUGAACACCAUAUGUAGGUCCUUCUUUUGCUCCUUGUAUCUCUCCAUGAGUUGUCGUACCAAGAAGAUGGCUUCCAUGGUCGACCUCCGAGGCAUGAAACCAACCUGAUUUUUGGUCACGCUUGUCAUUCGUCUUAAACGGUGCUCAAUGACUCUCCCAUAGCUUCAUUGUAUGGCUCAUAAGCUUAAUUCCACGGUAGUUAGUAUAACUCUGAACAUCCCCUUUGUUCUUGAAGAUUGGUACUAAUAUACUGCGUCUCCAUUCUUCUGGCAUCUUGUUUGCCCGAAAAAUGGAGUUGAAGAUCUUAGUUAGCCAUACUAUCGCUAUAUCUCCAAGGCCUCUCCACACCUCAAUGGGGAUACAAUCAGAGCCCAUUGCCUUGCCUCCCUUCAUCCUUCUCAACGCCUCCUUGACCUCAGACUCCUGGAUUCGCCGCACAAACGCCUACCGGUAUCAUCAAAGGAGUUGUUUAGUUCAAUGGUAGAGCUCUCAGUGUCCCCAUUGAUCAGCCUGUCGAAAUACUCCCGCUAGCUAUGCCCUUGAUGCAUUUGACUUGGUCAACAUCCCUCGUCUUCCUCUCUCGGAUCUUGGCCAUCCUAUAGAUGUCCUUUUCGCCUUCCUUCGUGCCUAACCGCUGGUAGAGGUCCUCAUACGCCUGACCCCUUGCUUCACUCACAGCUCGCUUUACGGCCUUCUUUGCCAUCUUGUACUUCUCCAUGUUGUCUGCACUCCUAUCCCCUAUCCAGGUACAUGCGUCUGAAACAAUAUUUCUUCUCCUUAAUAGCCUUCUGGAUAGCAGUGUUCCACCACCAGGUAUCCCUAACUUCGCUUCUACUUCCCCUGGACACUCCAAACUCCUCUAAGGCACCUUACGAAUACAGGUCCCCAUCUUCAUCCACAUACUAUCCGCAUCACCUCCUUCCUCCCAAGGGCCCUCCUUAAUGACCCUCUCCUUGAACGUCUGAGCUACCUCCCCCUUGAGCUUCCACCACUUCGUUCUAGCGAUUUUCACACGCUUAUCCCGCUGAACACGAAGUCGAAAGCGGAAGUCAGCCACCACAAGCUUAUGCUGAUGGACAACACUCUCUCGAGGCAUCACCAUACAAUCUAGGCACGCACUCCUGUCUUCUCUCCUUGAGAGGAUCAAGGCCACUACUAAAAGUCACUAGAUGUGAUUUUCUGUUUUUAAAGAGGGUGUUAUCUACGAUCAUGUCAUACGCUAAAGCGAAGCUUAGGACAUCUUCCCCUUCUUGAUUCCUGAUGUCAUAGCAAAAGCCCCCAUGCACCCUUCAAAACCUAUGUUAGAUGUACGCACGUGGCCAUUAAGGUCUCCUCCUAUGAAGAGCUUUUUGCCACUGGGUAUACCCCUAACCAAGUCCUCUAGGCCUUCCCGGAACUCCCUCUUGGUGUUCUCAUUGUGGCCUAUUUGCGGGGUAUAAGCGCUAAUAACAUUGAGAACUAAGUCCCCAACUACCAGCUUGACUAAGAUAAUCCGGUCCCCACAUCUCUUGAUGUCUACCACUCCAGAUUUGAGGCUCUUGUUGAUCAAGAUGCCUACUCCAUUUCUGUUUGGAGCCGUUCCCGUAUACCACAGCUUGAAGCUGGUAUCCUCUACUUCCUUCGCCUUCUGUCCCCUCCAUUUGGUCUCCUGGACGCAAAGGAUAUCAACACCUCUCCUCACCGCUGUAUCAACUAGCUCCCGAAGCUUACGUGGACCCUACGUUCCAGCUACCUAAGCGAAACCUCCUAGGCUCGGUUAAUUUUCUUAUUAAGCGUAAAAAAAAGAGAGUUAAUUUUCUUAUUUGUCCACUUCAAUCAUUUGUUUUCUCCAGUACAGCACAAAACCUUUUGCAGAAUAGUCAGACAGUGACGUAGUUGAAAUGUGUGAUACCAGAACUAGCCUCCCCUAGGUUACGCAUAGAAGGAAUUCAGGCUUAAGUAUAAACUACUGUAAUACUAUGGGCAAUGCAGCGCUGUACUCUACGCUGGAAUGUUUGGGGUAUUGACUGCAUCGCUACAUAUGUGAUACUGUCUAAAGGCUACGAAUUGCCAGUGCCUACAUCAGCCAAACUCCUGCCGUUUUUUGAAAAUCUUGUAUAUGUCCAGCAUGUUUAGAAGUUAUUUUGAGCUGAACAUUUCAUUUACUUGAGACACAUCCCACGCAAGAGCCAUUCAGAUUCAGAUCCUGAAUUUCCAAGGCUUAAAGCUCUCUCUGGCAAGUCUAGGAAACAAUAACAUUUUUAAGUUUAACGAUCCCAUUGCAACUGUACCUGAUUCAGUUCUCCGAUUACCUUCUCUAUGGACAGCUGUCGCUUCUCAGAUUACAAUGCCAUCCACAAUCCCUUUCAGCAAUUAUUACCACUGAAUGCAAUUGACAAUUCAGUCAAUUUGUUAUACAUUUCAUUUCAGAGCCAGUUGGUAGUGCAUUGAAGGAAUUUGUUUGUAUAUCUUGUAAUCAUGUGGGCGCACAAUACUGAAUUCCAUACCGGUAAUAAACUUUGAUGCUGCCUGAAGGGUUCAAGGCUUGAAGUUGCCUCCUGCUUUUUGGCUGAACUUAUCCAGUCAGUUUACAAACAUGUUCAGGCUUUGCACAUUUACAACCCUGCAAUUAGUUGAACUAUUCAUUUACCUAUCUUCUUUAGAUGAAGCAUUUAGCUCUUCAAAAUUCAUUUACCCGGAUGCAACCUCAGCAACAAUCCAUUCAAAUCUGAUUCUGUUUCUCUGGCUACUUUAGUUGAACAUCCAGUCAUCUUACAAUCAUAUUAGUCUAAAAUCUAAUCCAUUUUUUUACAUUCAGGUGCUAAAGUUGCACUCCCUCUAUCCCUAAAAAAACUGCUCAACUUUGUCUACAUACGGAUGUAUAUAGACAUAUUUUAGUUAUAGAUACAUUUCAAUCUAGAAAAAGUUGAGCAGCUUCUUUUUUGGGAUGGAGGGAGUACCACCUUUUUUUUUCUGUUGAGUAUAUAGAUCCACCACUCAAUGGCCACACAGGGACAACCAUAUCUAGUUCCAUAUUGGCAUUUGGCCAUUUUUGCACCGUCAAUCUGCAGAAGCUACCAGGUAAGCAAUUGCCCUGUUGCUAACUUGCUGUUGCUGCCACUGAACAACUUCCUGCUUUUUUCCCCCUUGUACUCCUUUAUGUUAUAAGGUUCUUAUAUUAUAGAAGUAUUGUAUCAAAGGAAAUAUUUGUCAUGCAUAAAAUUUGAAAUUUUGAGUCCAUAAGAAGGGACAUAUUAUACAUACCAGAUUGAUUUUGGAAGAAGGAAUCACUGUUUAUUAUUCUAUAUUCUUUUCCUCGGUGGCUUAGUUUGUAAAGUACUAGAUCUAUUUUAUAAUAUAUGUUUUGUAAAAGAUAAUUUUAAUUAGUUUUGUGGGAUUAAAGUUAAUAUCAUGAUGCAUGUUUAACAGGCUGAGUUAGCUGAAUUAUUUCAAUUUUUUUUCAGGAAAAUAUAUAGUAUGCUGAUUGUUGAGUUCAGAAACCAAAAGCUAUAGAUGAUUUUAAUGUUGCGCUUUUUAUUUGCUAAAGUAUAUGUUCCAUCAUUUUGAAUCCCAACUGAGAGAAGCAAUUUAAUUAAGUUUGCUUACUGAACAAAUAAUCAGAGUUUAUAGAUCAACAUCGCCAUGUCAACCUCCAACUGCUGACCAGGAAUAGGUUAUUUUGUGAAUAACUGAAUCAAAAUCUUGUCUAGAUAUAGAAAAAUACCAUGUUUACUGAAUGCAUAAUCAAGGUAAUCCAUGAGCAUUUUAGGAGUAAGCUUGUUAGUGACUGGUGAGGUACUGAGCUUUCCUAAUAUGGUUUGGGCCCUAGCAACUUGAAGUGGUAUGAAAACAGUCAAGGCUUAGACCACCCUGCAUCAUGUUGACGGCUUAUCUAUUGUAUGUUCACACUUCAUGCUGACUAAAGAAAUUUUUUAUGAAGGGGGAAGAAUACUGUGGUCAGCCAAACUGAACCAGGAGAGCCGUACAGAAACUCUCAGGUGUCACUGUCACUAAGUCAGCACUAGAAAGAUAAUAGUAAUUUAGUUCUCUCAAGGAUGCGAUGUACGUUACUUCUUUUUCUGUUUGGUCAUCGCAUCCUUCGUGGAGGAUUAUCACUCGAUAAGCUAUGUGCAAAAUACGAACCAUAUCUGCUAAAUAGUGAAUAGUUACUUCAGAACUUCAAAGCCUUUCAACUUAGCUGGGAGGAUGUGGCAUUCAGCCUUGGGCAGUCGGUGGUGGUGCUGAGCCUGCCCUCGUACGCUCUCACAGGUACCCUCUCUCUAGCCAUCGGAAAGCUUGCAUUCCUCCAAACACUGAACCUGACCUCCAGUUGGUUCCAAGGGGACGCCCCCUCAAACAUCGGCCGUCUAGUGCAUCUGGAGAACUUGACCUGAUCGGCUGAGCUACAACUCCUCUUGUAUGAUCCCUGUCAAUCUAAGCUUUUGUUUGAGCUUGAUUUCCUUGAGGCUCAGCAACAACCAGCUCCAUGGGCGAAUUCCUGUUGAGCUCGGCAACAUGCUCACAAGCCUCCAGAGGCUCUCACUUAAGAACAACAGCUUGACUGGGGCCAUCCCAGUAUCACUGUCCAACCUUUCCUCCCUGUACCAACUUGAUCUUGCUAAAAAUCAUCUUGCAGGACCAAUCCCAUCCGGGUUUGGCAACUUUCAAGGCCUUAAGUUCCUUGAUCUCUAUGAAAACAACCUCUCCGGUGUGCUUCCGCACUCCAUAUACAAUCUCUCCUUGUUGAAAGACUUCCAGGUAGAGGUGAACAUGCUAUUUGGAACUAUUCCUGCUGAUAUUGGCAGCACGUUCCCCAGCAUCGAAAUUCCGAGCUUUUCAGACAACCGAUUUAGUGGAGCUAUCCCAUAUUUGCUUUCCAAUCUCUCUGCUCUCGUAAAACUUGGCUUCGCAGGGAACCGUUUCAGUGGAUAUGUUCCUCCCAUUUUUGCGAGUUUGCAAGGCCUCACUGACCUGUACUUGAAUGCCAACCAGCUUGAUGCAGACUACAUGGAGGGUUGGGAGUUCAUCACAUCACUGACAAACUGCAGCCAGCUACAGCGUAUGGUUCUUGGCAACAACUCCUCCAGUGGCCAAGUGACUACUUCAAUCACAAACCUGUCGACCUCUCUCCAGAAUCUUUAUCUUGGAGACAAUAUAAUUUAUGGGGCUAUUCCAUUCAACAUUGUCAAUUUGGUUGGUCUGAACAUACUUAAGAUGCGAAUACUUCCCUAUUAGGCGUGAUUCCAGAUAGCAUCGGUAAGCUGGAAAACUUGGUUGAGUUAGGCCUGUACAGAACUAGUUUAUCAGGCUUCAUACCUUCUUCACUUGGAAACCUUACACAGCUGAGUAGGCUUUAUGCAUGCCAUGUCAACUUGGAGGGACCAAUUCCAGCAAACCUGAAAUUGAAGAAUCUGUUUGUCCUUGAUCUGUCAACGAAUUGACUUAAUGGUUCAGUCCCCAGAGAGGUUUUACAGCUCCCUUCACUUUCCUUUUACUUGGACUUAUCAUAAAAUUCAUUCUCUGGGCCACUUCCUACUGAAGUUGGUAGCUUGGGAGACCUCAAUCAACUGAUUUUAUUAGGAAACCAAUUGUCAGGUAGUAUUCCGGAAAGCAUUGGAAACUGCAUGGUAUUGGAACGACUAUUGCUGGAUCAGAACUUGUUUGAGGGAAGCAUACCUCAAUCUCUGAAGAAUAUAAAAGGUCUCAGUUUGCUGAUCUGACCACGAAUAAGCUGUUCGGUAGUAUUCCUGAUGUCCUAGGUAAAUGGUAAGCUUUGUGGUGGAAUACCUCAGAUUAAUUUAGCUCCAUGCUCCAUACAUACUGCAGGAAGGAGCAAAGUGCAGUUGCCAAAAUCUGUUAUGAUAGCUCUGACAGCCACUGGUGCCCUCUUGUUGUUCUUUUUAGUAGUUCUUCUUAUUCAGUUGAUUCAUAUGAAGCCAGUCAGAGACAGAAGAUCAAAUUAACCAGAGCAAUCGAGUGACAGUAUGGAAGGGUUUCUUACCAUGAAUUGUCAAAUGGAACCAGCGAAUUUUCAGAAAUCAAUUUGCUUGGAAAAGGAAGCUAUUGUGCUUUUUAUAAGUGCAGUUUAUCUGAUGAGGAUACUACUACAGCUGUGAAGGUGUUUAAUAUACUGCAGUCCGGGUCUAUUAGAAGUUUUGUGGCUGAAUGCGAAGCACUGAGAAGGGCACGUCAUCUCAUUAAAACCAUCACCUGUUGCUCAAGUAUCAAUCCUCAAGGUCAAGAGUUCAAGGCUUUGGUUUUUGAGUUCAUGCCCAAUGGCAGUUUGGAAGAUUGGCUUCAUCCGAAAUCUAAGUCGCCAACCCCAAGCAAUACGCUCAGCCUAGCCCGGAGACUAGAUAUUGCCAUCGAUUACAUGGUUCGCAAUCAUUGCCAGCCACCAAUAAUUCAUUGCGAUCUCAAACCAAGCAACAUCCUUCUUGCAGAAGAUAUGAGCGGCAGAGUUGGGGAUUUUGGCAUAUGAAAAAUCCUUCCUGAUGAUACAGGCCAAACCUUGUUAAGUUCAAUUAGCUUUGCUGGACUAAGAGGUUCCAUUGGUUAUGUUGCUCCAGAUGUUCACUGGAAGGAGCCCUACUGAUGACAUGUUCAAAGAUUCCUUGGACCUGCAUAAAUUUGCUGUAGCUACUCUUCCCAACAGAGCCAUGGAGAUAGCCGAUCAAACAAUUUGGCUACAUGAAGAAAGGACUUGGGUGCUGCCGAGGUAAACAUUUUGAGAAGCAGAAGAGCGGAAUGCUUGGUUUCAGUGAUUGCACUUGGUGUAUCCUGCUCAGAGCGUAAUCCACGAGAGCCCUGCUGAUGAGAGAUGCUGCUGCGGAGAUGCAUGCUAUCCAAGAUGCCUACCUCAGCAUUCCCACUUCUCUAGUUGGGAAUCCGGAAGUCAAAAAGAAGCCACCACCCCCAGUGUCCUGAAACAAUAAUUGAGGCCAUCUUCUCUUACUUUCGAGAUAUUUAGCACUGAAACUAUAUGUACCAUGUGUGUGAACUGUCACCGAAAUGACCUUGCUUCACUAGUAGUCUGAACGACUGUACAUGAUAAAUAUAUAUUGAAGAGUUAAAACAUCAUUUGGGAAAGAAUUACAUCA